rnacentral:rRNA from 1 species
AACGCGAAGAACCUUACCUGGGCUCGAACGGCUUCUCAACGGUAGUGGAAACACUGCUACCCCGCAAGGGGGUGGAGUCGAGGUGCUGCAUGGCUGUCGUCAGCUCGUGUCGUGAGAUGUUGGGUUAAGUCCCGCAACGAGCGCAACCCUUGUCCUGUGUUGGCAUGCGUUUAGCAAUAGACGCGCAACUCUCAGGAGACCGCCAGCGAUAAGUUGGAGGAAGGUGGGGAUGACGUCAAGUCAUCAUGGCCUUUAUGUCCAGGGCUACACACGUGCUACAAUGGGCGGUACAAAGCGCUGCAAACCCGCGAGGGGGAGCUAAUCGCAAAAAACCGUCCUCAGUUCGGAUCGCAGGCUGCAACCCGCCUGCGUGAAGCUGGAAUCGCUAGUAAUGGCAUAUCAGAACGAUGCCGUGAAUACGUUCCCGGGCCUUGUACACACCGAUAGC